GGAGGGGUGGCAGAGUGGUCGAAUGCGGCGGUUUUGAAAACCGUUGGCCUGGCGACAGGCCCGGGGGUUCGAAUCCCUCCCCCUCCGCCA
rnacentral:tRNA from 1 species